UCACUUCUUACUUUGAUGGUUCUGCUUUAUGCAGCGUGGUCAGGAUUUUUCCUCUACAAGCUCCACCUCUAAGAUCAAAACUAAAGGAACUCAGUGCUGCUCUAUUCCAGCAGGACCCUCCCACAGCUCCCUGUCCCUUUGGUACCCUGCUGUCCAUACCUACCUUUCCCCAGGCCAGAGGUGGCCCCUGUGAUCACCACCACUGCUCCUCGGAGGUAAGCGCGCAUCCGCAUCCACUGCAGCAGCCGGAAAAGGGAGAAGAUCCCCAGGCUGCCGAAAAGCAGCGGGAUGAUGACAGUGGAUGUGAGGUCCAUGAGUCUUCCUUUCUGAACAGCCUUCCUAGGUGAAGGAAACGGACUGUUUCACCAAUAAGAGAAUUAGCAGAGGCUUGAAAACUACGGAAAUGCUUUCACCUAGCCCUGCCUCAGACCACCAAUAACCCAAAUCCCAUUCGUUUUCAACUGAUUUCCUCAGCCCUGCAUCUAGAGCAUGGCUGUCCAAUGGUUUGCCUGGGCUGCACUGAGGGAAGAGGAAUUGCAUGAAGUCGUUAAUGUAGUUAAUGUAUGUAAGUAACAAAACCUUUUAAAAAUAUUCCUUUUAUUUAAACAUAAAACAGGCAGGUUGGAUGCAUGGCCUAGAGUCUAGACUUUCAGAAGAUCACAUCAGUACCCAAUUACAGCAAUACAAAUAUGAACAUGCGUUCACUUCCAUUACAAGGGUCUUUCAGCUGGCUUAUGGUCUUUCAGCAGGACAUUUGCUGUUGGAUCCUAUAAGUUGGACCUUGUCAUGCAACAAACCUGGAUCCACAGAUGCUGUUUCCACAGGCUUUUCUGUUUUGCCUUGAAUUCCCUCCUUGUACAACUGUGUACUCAGAUUUAAAGCUCUCCAGGGCUGGGAUAUAUCUCUGCGUGCUUCUGACUGUUAUAAAGAAAGCUACAUUGCUGAACCAGUAAGGAACUAUCAAGUAUUUCCAGAGGAAUAGCUAGAGCAGUGUAAAAUAAGAAAGAUAGCUAAGCUAGCUCUAAAUAGGCAUGAUGAGGCCUAAAACAAAAAACAUCAAACUAGUACACAGCUUUUCUCGUGCUACUAUGGAGCUUCCCACUCCCGAGCUAACUCAUGCAUCUCUACAAAGCACUUCACUGUGUAACAGUGCAGAUAUCCAGGCCGUGGGCUCCCUUGGGUACAGGGAUGUGCCCAAAGUGGAAAUCAGAAACCCAGAAGGGGGAUGAAAUUCAUCCCACUGAAAGGCAGUGCACAAGCACAUCACCCAGCUGUUCAGCAUCUUAUUUCUUCACCUCUUGGUGUUCAGUGUGCACGCACUGUGGCUAUUUUGUAUUGAUUUACAGGAGAAGGCAGAUUUAAAAUGAGAAGAGUGCACAAAAUAAUCCUCGAAAAAGAGCUGUUAAGACAUAAGGUCACUGCCCUUCUUUAGGCUGGAUAAGCAGGAGGUGCUGCUUAAAGCAUUUAAAGCAGCUGCCUCUUCAAAUUGUCCUUUUUUGCUCCGAAGGGUCUCUUGAGAUUCAGAAGACAAGAGGUGGGCAGGGACAGCAGGUGCUGACAUUGACCAAUGUGCCCUACAGGGCCAUCCUGGAGUCAAAAACAUUCAGCUUCCUUUUAAGACCUUUAAUUAUUUCCAAAGCAGGAGCUGACAGGAAGGGUGGCAGUUCCUUUACGAAGCCCAACUGAAACUGGCACAUUUAGAAACCUGGCCCUGACCAACACUGCUUCAGAUUUUGGCAAAAUGCAGACAGCAGCACAGAGCAGACGAGAAGCUGACCAGGAGCUUUUCUGACUCUUGUCCUCACUGAACCACAGCAGGAGGAAUGGGGCAGAUUUGCCAAUCUCUGCCUGAAGGUUGCAGCAAAUCGGCAGCUACAACCCAGUUCUGUGGUUUGAAACAACAUCACUCCCUGUGCGUAAAGGGAGGGGAAGCAGAGGAUGAGGAAGACUGGAUGAAGAGCAGGAGUGAGAAGGAACAGCUAAUCAAAGGUAGAUCUUAAUUAGGUCAUACAGCUGUAGGUAUCUGUCACAGAAGGUACUCAAACAGCUCCAUAAAAGAGCCCCAGAACAAAUAAAGCUCAGUCAAGCUAAAAGGAGAAAAGAAACAGGAGAACCUAUAGCUGAACUGCUUGGUAAAGAAUAAAGAAUUCCUUCAACACUUCAAA